UCUGGAGUAUGUUACACUCGUGCAAAGCUCCUUCCCUCUGUUUAUUUUCUGUUAUGGAAAGCACAGUCUGGGGUUCCUGGGCACUUCCUAUGAAAUGAUUCCAUGAAAAUAAUUUUGUACUGAAAGGAGAAAGGAGCUGUCUGUUUGAGAUCAGAUGUCACUGAUAAAAGCUUGAUGUUUUUUCACUCAGUAAGCUUUUAAAAUAUCUCAUAGUGUGUAGCAAUACCUGGCUUCUAAACCUCACCAGCUGAAUCUUAGAGGCUUCUUGGAAGAGCUGAGUUCAGGCAGCAGAAUUGGCCCUGCAGGAGGGACUCUGUGCCUGCUCUCCCGUGGCUCCAAGGGAUCUCUGGCCCUUCACGCCGGCACCAAGAUUUUCUCGGGAAGGGCCUCAGAUCCCCGGACCGGUCUGGGACACAGGCAAGAUCUCCCUGCAGUUUAGGACCAAAUUGGGCCCCUGGAGGGACAGUGCUGUUGGUGCCCCCCGGGUUGGGGCACCCCGAGGACUCCAGCGCGCACCGAAAGGAUUAUUCGGGGAGAUCCUCGGGGUGCCCGGCCCUGGGGAGCUCAAAGCAAGGUCCCUGCCAUGGAUUCAGGCAUUGCUGAGAGUAUCCCAGGUGUAGCUGUCCAUGCUAGACAGGGAGCUCUCUAAUGGGCUGUAAUUGGGUGAUAAAAGUGGUGCUCCAAGUGCCAAAGCAGUGUGGGAUUGGGAUUAAGAAACGAGCAGUGAUGGUACAAUUGGCUGUUUUCUCUUGAAUGUAAUGGUAAGAGCUGCAGGAGUGCAAGGUGUGUGUUCCAGUCCCCAGCAUUUGGUUUGCACGUGUCCUGGUCAGACACAGGUCCAACUUCCUCAGUCCUUAACACAAGAGAAGGAGAAUUAAGGACUGGCAGUGAUAAGGUGAUUGGUGUGACAGGGGUUAAAUUGGGAAAACAUUGCGUAAUUCCUCAGUUUCCCUAUUUGCCAAACUCAGCCAAACCUGUGCUAGCAAGAGAUUGAGUGGAAAAGUUGAGGCAGAAAUGAAAUUGAAAACUGGGGAUAUUGAAACUGUAAUUGCUGGAACUAAAUGUGUCAGAGCAGCAGCUCUUGUUGUACCGGGAAUAACUCCUGUCAGCAGCAAGGUCCCGACUGAAGUGGCAGCUGCAGUUGUUCCUGUGGUGUGGGCCAGUGGAACUGCAGGAGAGUGGAAGAGGGCAGAACCUGUAGGUAUUACCCCUAAUGUGGGAUCUAUAUGGGUAAGGCAAAGCCAGUAUCCUUUAAAAUCAGAAUGCCAGCUUGGAUUGGUUGCAGUAACAGCUAAAUUGGCUCAUCCUGGUUUGCUUGUAGGAUGUGAAUGCAAGAACCUGCCAAGGAACCAAUGGCCAAGAUGAUUGAUGAGUGCAGGACCUGAGAGAACCACCUUGAAUGACAAUCUCAAGGAGUUUGCAGUAUUGGAUUUAAAAGAUGGCCUUUGCUGCAUCUCCUUGAGCAAGGAAAGCCAAGAAACCUUUGCCUUUGAAGGAGAAAAUCUGGAAAGGGGAAAGGAAGAAGAGAAGCCACUUGACUCCUGAGCCCCAGACAGCCCAUGAACUGCCUUUCUGGGAAUGGUAGGACGGGGUGGACUCUGGAUUGCUCCCUCUGGAUGUGUGGCUCUCCCCUCAGGAACUGCAGGAACUCCUGGUGCCGCCUGGGCCGAUGGAUUGGACGCCCCAGCCCCUCCGUUCCUGCCCAGCCACUGGGGCCGUGUCGAGUGGUGGCACUGCCAGCCCUGCAGGGGAAGUGGGAAGGGCCUUUGCAGGUCCUGUGGGUCACAUCUAUAGCAGCUAAAGUUGCAGAAAAAGGACCUGGGGUCUGUUAUUCCUGAGUUAAGAAAGCUCCUUUUGAUUGGUGAGCAGAACAAAGUGGAUCCUUCAGAGUUCCCAUCCGUGUUUGUGUCUCAGCCUGUGUUAUGAUUCAGGGCUGUAGCUGUUGUUGUCACUGAGGAGUCAAACUCUGCUUUAAAUAAUGAGACCCUGGCCUAAUGGCCAAGUGUGAAGAAUAAAGAGGGAAUGAUAUCUGAGUGUUGAGAUGUAACAAGAGCUAAUCCUUUUUGCAGUAGGAUGUAGCCUGGAAACUGCACAGAGCUGAGCCAAGGGAUUUAAAGGGACUAACCAAGGGAGGUGAAGAAAGAAGGAAGAAGGGAAGUGAGGCAGCAGCCAAGCAGCACCAAGUGCCUGUGUAAGCAGUGCACCGACUGAUAUCGUGCUGGAAAAAUAACACACUUCAAUGCCAGGCCAAAGCCCUGCUCCAGCCCAGCUCUGCCCAGUGCCCUGGGCUGGGAGCAGCCAAAGGCAAGAGGCUGCAGCCCCGCCGGCCGGGCUGGGGGCUCCUGGUGCUGCCCGUGGGGUGGGGUGUGCCCAGGACGCUGCUAAUGCCCAGGGAUCUGCUCUGGGUCCAGGCUGUCCGUGCUGGAGGGCCCUGGUGGCUGCAGUCCCUGAGCCCGCAGAGGCAGAGAGAGCCCCGGCCCGAGUGGCCUUUGGCCCCUUGUCCUGAAUUUGGGGGGAGCCUGGGAGCGUGUGGAGGGUGAGAAUGAGGGCUGUGCUUCCAAUGCAUCAUCCCUGGGAAGAUCCUGUUGUUCCAGAGCGCUGGGGACAGUUUGGGCUUGGCAGCUUCAGAGCUGGGUUGGAGCAGUCCCUGAAAAGAAUCAGGAGAGUGGAGUUUUGUCCCAGUGGUGCUUUCACGCCCCCCUUGACAGUCUGGGCUUUGUGUUUGAGGUUGUCCUGUAUUUGCUCUGCAGAUAAUGGGCCCUUCCCAAUUCAGCCCAGCAGAUCCCGAGGGCUCUGACAGGAAUAUUUGUUCUUUCCUUGCCUUUGGGAUAACUUCAUCUCCAAACUGCCAUGAGCAAUUCCUUAAUUUCUUCUGGAGAAAACCAAGUGUCAGAGGCAGUUUGCCAAGGAGCCCAGAAGUGUCUUUGGAGCAGAGAGUGCUGCCAGCUCCGUGUGCCUGUGCCCAGCCUGGCACUGCCCACAGGGACACACGGGGCACUGACCAUUAGAGGGAACAAAACCACUGCCUGCCAGAGGGUUUGUCCUGGGCCAGUCAGGCCUGGGGCAGGAAUUGGACUGGGCAACUCCAUCAGCUGCUCUUCCCCCACAAAGCACCAUCUCCUGGGCAUUAAUGACGUGCCCUGUGCCCACCGCUUACUGUUCACCCAGCUGAAACCAGAGCAAGGCUUGCUUUGCUUUGAACAACUUAAAAUAAUUUUAAAACAAAAUAAAUCACUUUUUUCUUCUUUUUUUUUUUUUCUUUUAGAUGCUGGAAUUGCCUCUCUGGGUGUGUGCUGAGCUCUGGCUGCAGGGGACUGUCAGGCCUUGGUGGCUCUGUUCCCUGAUGUCCAUUCACUGGCCUGAAUUCCUUGCAGCUCCCAGCUGGGGAAACCUGGGAUAACAUGGCAGGGACAGAGGUGACAUUUGUAGCUGCAGACUUGGGAUAAUUUCGAGGGGACCCAGCAACUGUUUCUGAAGGAAAAGGUGAGGUGCUGCAGAGGGGAGGGAGGUGGCAUUUUGGAGGGGUCCCACUGAGGGGGGAGCGGAGAGCCUGGGGCUGGAGUGUGAGUUAUUAAACAGGGAAGAAGGGAAGGAUGCUUGGGAGGGAAACACUCAGGGAAUGUGUAGGGAUGGAAUGGAAAUUUGGGGCGUCAGGAAGAGAAAAUGGGUGAUGUAGAGGAAGGGAAAUGUUGGGUGUAAGAGUUGAUCUCAUCUGUAGAGAACAGAAGGACCAUUUAGAGAUAAAGUGAGGCAGUCAGUGGUGGGCAGGUAGGGAAAAUUUGUGUUUGUAAAAUUUCAGGUCACCUGUAGCAGAGAGGAUGUACCUCCUGAUGGACACUGAGGCAGUCAGCAGUGGGCAGGACGGGGGGAAACCUUUGGGGGUAAAACUUGAGGUAACGUCCAGGGCAGAGACUGAGUAUUUUGAAGGAUAAAUGAGGUACUCAGUGGUGGACAGUUGGGAAGUGUUUUAGGGUAAACUGGGGUAGCCCACAGGGUAGAGAAUGAACAUGUAUUUGUACAGAACAGGUGAUUACAUGUGGGUAGGUAAGGAGAAUUUUGGGAGUAAAAUCUGUAGCAGAGAGAAUGAAUACCUUGGGUUAAAGUGAGGCAGUCAGUGUUUGGCAGGUAGGGAAAAAUUCUGUUUGUAAAAUUUGAGGUCAUGUGGAGCAGAGAAUGUACAUCCUGAGGUAAACUGGGGUAAUCAGUUGUGGACUCGUAGGGAAAAUUGGGGGGGCAAUAUCUGAGGUAAUCUGCAUGGUAGAGAAUGAAUAUUGAGAGGUGAACAUGAUGUACUCCGUGGAGGACUUGUAGGGAAAGUUGUGGGGGUCAAAUCUGUGGCAAUGUGCAGCAGAGAGAAGGAACAUUUUGGAACAAAGUGAGGCAGUCAGUAGGGGAGAGGCAGAGGAAUUUCUGAGGGUGAAACUUGAGCAAAUCUGCAGGGCAGAGAAUGAAUAUUUGGAGGUCCAACAGAGGUAAUCAGGAGUGUGCAGGUAGGGAAGACUCUGGGGGUUAAAAAGAAGGUAAUCUCUAGGGGAGAGAAUGACUCUUUUGUGUUCAAGAAGAGGUAACCAGGAGUGGGCUGGAAGGGGAAAGUUUGGGGGUUAAAAAGGAGGUUGAUUCUCUCCAGGGCAGGGAAUGAACACACUGAGGUAACCUGAGGUGAUGAGUGGUGAGAGACACAGAAAACUGUGGGUGUUAAAGUUCAGGUGAUCUGCUGGGAAGAGAAGGAAUGUGUUGAGGUAAACUGAGGGUCCCUGCAGUGGCCCAGUAGGGAAAUGUUGGGCUGAGCCCUGAGUUGCUCCUGUGUGGGGCGGCUGCAGUGAGGCCGAGCCCUGGCCCUGGUUUGCCAGCCAUGGGCAGGGGGCUCUGUGCCAGCCGGGGGAGCAGCGGGGCCCCCGUGGCAGAGAGGGCAGGGGGGCUGUGGAGCUGCCCCGGGGGGAGCGGGGGGGCCUUUCCUGGGCCGCCUCCAGCCCCCCUCGAUCCCCGGGGCUGCGCUGCCCCCCGAGGCUGUUUGGGGCAGAGAGUGCUGCCAGCUGCGUGUGCCUGUGCCCAGCCUGGCACUGUCCACAGGGACACAGUAGGCACAGAUCAUUGGCCCAAGUUGUGUUUGCACCAGCUGGGGCCAGAGGUGCCGGGCAAUCCAUAGCAAACCCUGCUCAGCCUCCAAAUCCCAGGGGAAGUUCUCCAAGCUGCUCAUUGUGGGACUAAAGAUACAUUGAAAUGGAACCGAGACACUACUAAGUUUCCCAGGAAUCCCAGUAUUGCUGUCCUAGAACUUUUAACAGCUUUUUAAGCUUUUUAUGACAAGAAUGGCUUUCUUCCUUUGGAUGAGUCCCUCGGUAGGAUUUGGGGUUUCUUUGGAUUCUGAAUCCCUCCCAGGGCCCCUGACACUGGUCAGGAGCGGGCAGGACAAACAGAGUCAGAGCUCCAGGCAGGCACAGGGGCUUUCCCCCAGAGUGGAUCCAACUGCUGCCCCCCAGCCUGGACAGGUGGGAUCUGCUUUGGCUCCCGGCUCCUGCCAGAGACAGAAUGUGUUCCGUUGAUUGGAAUGAGGAUCCCGUAACUUCAUUUGCUGGAGGGUCCCUGGGCAGCUGAUCCACUCUGCCCCGUGUCCUGCUCUCAGUUCCUGCCCAGCCAGAGCCACCUGUGCCAAGGGCACGAGCACUUACAGCCUGGCUAGGGAAUGGGGGACUGGUUUGUGCACAAUUCACCUAGAAAGUCAAACGAGGGGAUUGUUGGAGUAUCUGGCUCCUUAGGGAACCUGCUGGGAGUAGAGAAGCACAACCCCAAAUCUCCAGCUGUGGGGGGAGUUGUGGAACGUAAACCAGCACAAACCCAAACUCCCCCAAAAUGAACCGUGGGAGAGCAGGACCAAAUAAGGGUCAGUGUCCCUGUGGAAAGGCAAAAGGAAUUGGUUGGGACUUGGAUUGUCCCCUUGGGAGAUGCUGGUUGCCGGGAUGCAGAGAAUGCCCUCCCUCAGGCUGCCAAGAUCUCUCAGUGCAGGGGCUUUGGCCAACAGGGCAGCACAAAGAUUGUUCUCUUUGUGGGGCCCAGGUUCGGGUUCCGGUCUCAGCUUUGCAGGUUUGGAUGAAUUCUCCCUACAGCCCGCAAUUCCAUGCCGAAUUCCUGCUGGAACAGCCUCCCAGUGCCUCCUGGAGCCCGGAUCUUCCCUUGCAGAGCUGCCGCUUUAGCGUCAGGUUUGCCAGGAAGCAGCCACGGUUCCAGGUUUGCUCAGCGGGAUCGGGACAAGGACAGGUUGAUUUUCCACCGACUUUGCUGUUUCUAACCCUCCUCCCCCGGCCCCGCUGGUGUCCCUGGGGGGACUUGAGCGAGUUCCCUGGAAUUCGGCCGGUUUUCCGCCCCGGGCCGGGCUCCAGGGGAUGUGUUGGCCCAGGAGAAGGCGGGGGCCGGACGCGCUCCCGGCCCGGGGCGAGGCAGCCCCUGAGCACGGGCGAGGACGUCUGUCCGGGCGGGAAGCCGCUGUCCCUUCGGAGCCUCGGGAGUGGCCCCGGGGAGUUCUUUUCCCCGAGGAAAGGGAUGCACAUCCGGCUGAGGAGCCGCGGGCAGCCCUUUCCCCGUGCCCACCCCACGGGGGCUGUAGGGCACAGCUCCAGGGCACAGCUCCCCCAUCCCCUGGCAAUAGGAAGCCCAAGCAGGGCUGGGUCGCUGUCUGUCUGUCGCUCCGGCCUCCUCCCGGCCCGCGUUCCCUGCCCAGCUGGGACUGCCCAGGGAGCCCCGAGAACGUUCCUGGCGGGAAGCAGGAGCCGCCGAGGGCUCCGUCCAACUCCGGGCCCGAAAAGCAGCCCCGACCUGAGCCCCCCCCGGCAUUUUGGGUU